rnacentral:misc_RNA from 1 species
CGACCAACAAGCUCAAAGCUUGGUGUUGGAUGCCACCACUGUAUGUUAGGGUGCAUCUUAAAAUCAAUAAGCAGUAUUCUCGGCUUCGAGCGUAGUAAUUUAUUUCGCUUUUGGUGCUUUAGAUGUUCUGCUAAAUUAAAUACAUCAUG